rnacentral:rRNA from 1 species
AAAAACAUGUCCAUUUGAAUAGCGUUGUAAAUGGUCUGGCCUGCCCACUGACUGUAGUUGAAGGGCCGCGGUAUCCUGACCGUGCGAAGGUAGCAUAAUAAUUAGUCUCCUAAUUAGAGGCUUGUAUGAAGGGUCGGACAAGAUAGGUACUGUCUCGGUGCAAGUAUAUAUAAAUUAAUAUUUGAGUAAAAAAGCUUAAAUAUGCUGAAGUGACGAUAAGACCCUAUAAAGCUUUAUGGUCUUUUCUAUUUUGCGUGAAAUAAUUGAUUCGAAAUCGCUGAAAAGAAAAAAUCAUUUUACUGGGGCGGUAAAAGUAUAAUUGGGUAACUGCUUUUGUUAUGGGUAACAAAAAUAAUUGGUGUUUAUAUUGAUCCGUUAAUAACGAUUAUAAGAACAAGUUACUUUAGGGAUAACAGCGUAAUUUUCUUUGAGAGUUCCUAUCGAAAAGAAAGUUUGCGACCUCGAUGUUGAAUUAAGGAUUACCUUAAGGUGCAGCAGCUUUAAAGGUGGAUCUGUUCGAUCCUCAAUCUCUUACGUGAUCU